rnacentral:ncRNA from 1 species
GAUAAUAGGCUAAUCUUUCCCAAAGCUCACAUUGACGAGAAGGUUUAGCACCUCGAUGUCAGCUCUUCGCCACCUUGGAGUGUUGUAUGUUCCAAGGGUUGGAUUGUUCGCCCAUUAAAGCGGUACAUAAGCUGGGUUUAGAAUGUUGUGAGAUAAAUG